rnacentral:rRNA from 1 species
AACGAACGCUGGCGGCAUGCCUAACACAUGCAAGUCGAACGAGACCUUCGGGUCUAGUGGCGCACGGGUGCGUAACGCGUGGGAACCUGCCCUUAGGUUCGGAAUAACUCCCCGAAAGGGGUGCUAAUACCGGAUAAUGUCUUCGGACCAAAGAUUUAUCGCCUUUGGAUGGGCCCGCGUUGGAUUAGCUAGUUGGUAGGGUAAAAGCCUACCAAGGCGACGAUCCAUAGCUGGUCUGAGAGGAUGAUCAGCCACACUGGGACUGAGACACGGCCCAGACUCCUACGGGAGGGAGCAGUGGGGAAUAUUGGACAAUGGGCGAAAGCCUGAUCCUGCAAUGCCGCGUGAGUGAUGAAGGCCUUAGGGUUGUAAAGCUCUUUUACCCGGGAUGAUAAUGACAGUACCGGGAGAAUAAGCUCCGGCUAACUCCGUG